rnacentral:rRNA from 1 species
GAUGAACGCUAGCGGCAGGCCUAACACAUGCAAGUCGAGGGGUAACUAGAGUGAUAGCAAUAUUACUUUGGCUAGACCGGCGCACGGGUGCGUAACACGUAUGCAACCUACCUUAUACUGGGGAAUAACUUCGAGAAAUCGGCGCUAAUACCCCAUAACAUUGCGAAGAGGCAUCUCUUUGCAAUUAAAGCUCCGGCGGUAUAAGAUGGGCAUGCGUCCAAUUAGCUAGUUGGUGAGGUAACGGCUCACCAAGGCUACGAUUGGUAGGGGUUCUGAGAGGAUGAUCCCCCACACUGGUACUGAGACACGGACCAGACUCCUACGGGAGGCAGCAGUGAGGAAUAUUGCGCAAUGGACGAAAGUCUGACGCAGCCAUGCCGCGUGCAGGAUGACGGCCCUAUGGGUUGUAAACUGCUUUUGUACGGGAAUAAACCCUUCUACGUGUAGGAGGCUGAAGGUACCGUAAGAAUAAGCACCGGCUAACUCCGUGCCAGCAGCCGCAGUAACAC